GACGAACGCUGGCGGCGUGCUUAACACAUGCAAGUCGAACGGAAAGGCCCUGCUUUUGUGGGUUGCUCGAGUGGCGAACGGGUGAGUAACACGUGAGUAACCUGCCCUUGACUUUGGGAUAACUUCAGGAAACUGGGGCUAAUACCGGAUAGGAUCUCCUGCUGCAUGGUGGUGGUUGGAAAGUUUCGGCGGUUGGGGAUGGUCUCGCGGCUUAUGAGCUUGUUUGUGGGGUAGUUGCUGACCAAGGCUUUGACGGGUAGCCGGCAUGAGAGGGUGACCGGCGUCAUUGGGACUGAGAGACGGCCCAGACGCCUACGGGAGGCAGCAGGGGGGAGUAUUGCAGAAUGGGCGGAAGCCUGAGGCAGCAAUGCCGGGUGCGGGAUGACGGCCUUUGGGUGGUAAACCGAUUUCGAAUGUGACGAAGAGUGAGUGACGGUAAUGGGUAAAGAAGCAACGGCUAACUACGUG
rnacentral:rRNA from 1 species